AUGAACGCUGGCGGCGUGCCUAAUACAUGCAAGUCGCGCGAACAGACGAGGAGCUUGCUCCUCUGACGUUAGCGGCGGACGGGCGAGUAACACGUGGAUAACCUACCUAUAAGACUGGGAUAACUUCGGGAAACCGGAGCUAAUACCGGAUAAUAUAUUGAACCGCAUGGUUCAAUAGUGAAAGACGGUUUUGCUGUCACUUAUAGAUGGAUCCGCGCCGCAUUAGCUAGUUGGUAAGGUAACGGCUUACCAAGGCAACGAUGCGUAGCCGACCUGAGAGGGUGAUCGGCCACACUGGAACUGAGACACGGUCCAGACUCCUACGGGAGGCAGCAGUAGGGAAUCUUCCGCAAUGGGCGAAAGCCUGACGGAGCAACGCCGCGUGAGUGAUGAAGGUCUUCGGAUCGUAAAACUCUGUUAUUAGGGAAGAACAAAUGUGUAAGUAACUAUGCACGUCUUGACGGUACCUAAUCAGAAAGCCACGGCUAACUACGUG
rnacentral:rRNA from 1 species